rnacentral:rRNA from 2 species
UGGAGAAUCUUGGACAAUGGGCGCAAGCCUGAUCCAGCCAUGCCGCGUGAGCGAAGAAGGCCUUAGGGUCGUAAAACUCUUUCAGCUGUGAAGAUAAUGACGGUAGCAGCAGAAGAAACCCCGGCUAACUCCGUGCCAGCAGCCGCGGUAAUACGGAGGGGGUUAGCGUUGUUCGGAAUUACUGGGCGUAAAGCGCACGUAGGCGGGUUCGUAAGUCAGGGGUGAAAUCCCGGGGCUCAACCCCGGAACUGCCCUUGAUACUGCGGGCCUUGAGUUCGAGAGAGGUGAGUGGAAUUCCGAGUGUAGAGGUGAAAUUCGUAGAUAUUCGGAGGAACACCAGUGGCGAAGGCGGCUCACUGGCUCGAUACUGACGCUGAGGUGCGAAAGCGUGGGGAGCAAACAGG